UUAGCUGUACUUGAAAGAAUUGAACGGUGUAGGGCAAGAAGUUCCAUAGAUGAAGUAAAAAGAGAUUCUCUUAGCUUUAGAUGGGUAUACAAUAAACUACAGACGAAAAAGAAAUAGGUAUUGAUCUUUAAAAAAAACACAAAACUAGAUUUCAGCUUUCUUUGACCGGUACUGUACUAACUUACAAUUGAAGGACACACCUGUAGACAUUCAGGUGCUCAUGAAUUACAUGAGUUUAGGUCGGGGGCGCCGCGUUGAAUUAUUGAGUUUGUCGGAUUAUGAAGAGGCAAACUAUCCCUUUAGACCAAUCAACAAAUUAAGCUCGUGAUUUUGUGUCAGCUCAUUUGUUUCUGUUGGUUCAAAGCUGAACAAUUAAGAAAUUGUAUUUUGAUGUCAUUUCUUAUACACAUUAAUAUUAUAAUUAUGUAAAUAAAAUCGCCAGUUUAAUCGAAAACUGUCUUAUUACCUAUUUAGGAUUGCAAUUGAACACACAUGUUUAAUUCCAGGGUGUGUAGGCCUACCUAAAUAAAGUAUUUCAACAUGAAGGUCUGUACACUUCUUAGCAAAGGUUUGUAUGCAAAAAUAAAAACAAAUAGUAGAAAAGUCAAUAAAAUUUCUAUUUCUGUCUGUGUACUUCAUCUAAAAUGUGAUUACAGACUGCUUAUGUUGACACUAUGGCCCAAUAGUUUGAGAGAAAAGAUGUGUUAGUGUUCUAAGCAUUUCGUAUAGCGAUUUGUUUUCAUGUUCAUUUAUACUAUAGUUAUGAUAUUGUACAUUUUAUUACGCCUUAGUCAAAUUAAUUCGUGUGUUUGUGUCAUUGUUUAAUUAAUGUCAUUUUAUGUAAGGGGUGGCAAUACAUGCGAAGACAUGAAAGUCAUGAAGAUCAAUAAAUGAACAUUUGUUUCUACAUUUUUUAA